CCCUGGGUGUGGUGGGAGGGGAGGGAGUGACUCAGACCUUGGCUGGCUUCCCGCUGAGUCACUGCCGAGGGGCCAUGAAAGGAGUCGAGUGGCACUCAGGCUUCACCUCCUCACACUGGUAAAUUCCUGUCUUCUGGGGGAGAUGCCUGGCGGCAGACCCGAACCACACAUCGUUGGUGGACAAGUUCGUCUGACUUUCCUAACAGCUCUGUUGUGGAACCGUGGGUGGGCUCCAUUUCCUGGUGUGGCCCCACAGCCAGCAAGAGGGAACACUCCCGGAAGUUGCCUUUCUGCCCAACCUAGCUCUGUAUCCUCCAACGUGUCCUGGAUGGACACAUUCUGUCCCUCGUCAGGCUGGCUGUGUUGCAUCUCAGGUGAACUCUUCGAGAACAGCUGUGCGCUUGCCAUGCCACUACAGAGAGCAAGAUGCAAAGGGCAGCCACACACGUUGCGCUGGGGCUCAUUCUCUUGACAUAGUCAUUCAGGAAGACAGCAAGGAAGAAAUGCUGCCAAAUCAGCGUGGAAUCUUUUUGAAGACAUUGUUAGUGGCGAUUAAACCAACACCUGUGGUGCUAACAGUGCACACAACUCAAGGGAAAGGAGACGAGACGGAAAACUGUGACCAAGUUUGUGCACGUGCGGUCAACUGCAACUAUAUCACGACUAUCUCCUGGCUGCCUGCAAUUUGACAUACUGUUGAUUACAACAUACAGCCUUAUUUCAGAGAUGUAAAAAUAUGAAAAAAACGUGUCAUAAGUUUGAUGGAAUACAAUAUUAAAAUGUAAAUGUCCUCGCUAACA